rnacentral:rRNA from 1 species
AAUGAACGUUGGCGGCGUGGAUUAGGCAUGCGAGUCGUGCGAGAAUCGUAGCAAUACGAGGACAGCGGCGCAAGGGAGAGGAAUAAGUAGAAAUCUACCCUCGGAUCGGGGAUAGCGGCGGGAAACUGCCGGUAAUACCCGAUAACGUCUUUGGACCAAAGGUGUGAUUCCGUCUGAGGAUGAGUCUACUUCCUAUUAGCUAGUUGGCGGGGUAAUGGCCCACCAAGGCAACGAUGGGUAGCAGGUGUGAGAGCAUGACCUGCCUCAUUGGGACUGAGACACUGCCCAGACACCUACGGGUGGCUGCAGUCGAGAAUCUUCGGCAAUGGACGAAAGUCUGACCGAGCGACGCCGCGUGCGGGAUGAAGGCCUUCGGGUUGUAAACCGCUGUCGGAGGGGAACAAAUGUACGGGGGUACUCCCCUGUAUUUGAGUGAACCUAGGAGGAAGGGGAGGCUAAGCUCGUG